rnacentral:rRNA from 1 species
CCCUUAGAUGUUCUGGGCCGCACGCGCGCUACACUGUUUGAUUCAGCGAGUCUUAACCUUGACCGAAAGGUUUGGGUAAUCUUCUAAAGUCAAACGUGAUGGGGAUCGAUCAUUGCAAUUAUUGGUCUUCAACGAGGAAUUCCUAGUAGACGUAGUUCAUCAGACUGCAUCGAUUACGUCCCUGCCCUUUGUACACACCGCCCGUCGCUCCUACCGAUUGAAUGCUCAGGUGAGCCAUUCGGACUUUCAUCAUGCUGGUUUCCAGUUUUGAUGAAGGAAAGUCUUGCGAACCUUAUCAUUUAGAGGAAGGAGAAGUCGUAACA